CUUCACGGAGCCCAGCAGCAGCGGGCGUUCCCGGUCGCGGCCGUAGGUCGCCAGCAGGGCCUGUGCCUC
rnacentral:antisense_RNA from 2 species